GAUGAACGCUGGCGGCGUGCCUAAUACAUGCAAGUCGAGCGAACAGACGAGGAGCUUGCUCCUCUGACGUUAGCGGCGGACGGGUGAGUAACACGUGGAUAACCUGCCUAUAAGACUGGGAUAACUUCGGGAAACCGGAGCUAAUACCGGAUAAUAUAUUGAACCGCAUGGUUCAAUAGUGAAAGACGGUUUUGCUGUCACUUAUAGAUGGAUCCGCGCCGCAUUAGCUAGUUGGUAAGGUAACGGCUUACCAAGGCGACGAUGCGUAGCCGACCUGAGAGGGUGAUCGGCCACACUGGAACUGAGACCCGGUCCAGACCCCUACGGGGGGCAGGAGUGGGGAAUCUGCCGCAAUGGGCGAAAGCCUGACGGAGCAACGCCGGGGGAGGGAUGAAGGUUUUCGGAUCGUAAAACUCUGUUAUUAGGGAAGAAAAAAUGUGUAAGUAACUAUGCACGUUUUGACGGUACCUAAUCAGAAAGCCACGGCUAACUACGU
rnacentral:rRNA from 1 species